rnacentral:rRNA from 1 species
CAGCCGCCGCGGUAAUACCGGCGGCCCGAGUGGCGGUCACUCUUAUUGGGCUUAAAGCGUCCGUAGCCGGGUUGGGAAGUCCUCCGGGAAAUCUGGCCGCUUAACGGUCAGAAUGCCGGAGGAUACUCCCAGCCUAGGGAGCGGGAGAGGCCGAGGGUAUUCCCGGAGUAGGGGUGAAAUCCUAUAAUCCCGGGAGGACCACCUGUGGCGAAGGCGCUCGGCUGGAACGCGUCCGACGGUGAGGGACGAAGGCCAGGGGAGCAAACCGGAUUAGAUACCCGGGUAGUCCUGGCUGUAAACGAUGCGGACUUUGUGUCGCACAAGCUAUGAGCUUGUCCGGUGCCGGAGGGAAACCGUUAAGUCCGCCGCCUGGGGAGUACGGCCGCAAGGCUGAAACUUAAAGGAAUUGGCGGG